rnacentral:tRNA from 1 species
GGCGGGCGCGGCUUGCGGCGUGGCUCCGCCGCUCCUAGCGUGGCGCCAGAUUGCAGGAGAUGGACGAUGCCGCUUGUUCCGCCGCUCGCGCCCGAGGC